UGUAAGAUAUGUUAAAUAAACUGUUGGGCUCAUGACUCAAAUAUAGAGGUGAGACUUCUCUUUUUACUU
rnacentral:tRNA from 1 species